CCUACGGGUGGCAGCAGUCGAGAAUCAUUCACAAUGGGGGAAACCCUGAUGGUGCGACGCCGCGUGGGGGAAUGAAGGUCUUCGGAUUGUAAACCCCUGUCAUGUGGGAGCAAAUUAAAAAGAUAGUACCACAAGAGGAAGAGACGGCUAACUCUGUGCCAGCAGCCGCGGUAAUACAGAGGUCUCAAGCGUUGUUCGGAAUACCUGGGCGUAAGGCGGGCGUAGGCGGUGUCGUAAGUCGUGUGUGAAAGGCGCGGGCUCAACCCGCGGACGGCACAUGAUACUGCGAGACUAGAGUAAUGGAGGGGGAACCGGAAUUCUCGGUGUAGCAGUGAAAUGCGUAGAUAUCGAGAGGAACACUCGUGGCGAAGGCGGGUUCCUGGACAUUAACUGACGCUGAGGCACGAAGGCCAGGGGAGCGAAAGGGAUUAGAUACCCCUGUAGUC
rnacentral:rRNA from 1 species